GCUUGAACAAGUACCUGCUUGAUAAAUUAUCCUCUGACAUGUGUUGCAAAGCACAUACUGGCAUGUUCCUCAGAUUCUUGCCAGCUUUUUCACUGAAGGUGCAUUACUGCAUUCCUCAAGACAGUCAUGAAAAGUUAAAAUCAAUUCUGCUUGAAGUAUAGAGUGUAAAUGGGAAUUAUAGCCAGAAUCACGAAUCCUUAAACCAAAAGAAGCUGACUUGAAGCUGUAACAAUGUGGAUUCAUGCUUCGUAAGGAAGACUUGUAAAGUUAUCUUUUCUAGUGGAAUGCUGCUGGAAAGUGUAGUUUUGGUAUAAUACAGCUCAAUCACCUAAUGAGUCUUGGUUCUCCCACGUGAAAUGAGCGCUUUUCAGAGUGACUGUGCAUCAACUUGUGAACUUCUAGCAGAGUAUUCUGGUCCUGAACAUGAAAUGUUUGAAUUUGAAAGUCUUAACACAAAAUGUUCAAAAAUGUUCAAGAAGCUGUUUGAAACACUGCACCAAAAAGAAA